rnacentral:rRNA from 1 species
UACGUAGGCAGCAAGCGUUGUUCGGAAUUACUGGGCGUAAAGAGUGUGUAGGCGGUUCUCUAAGUUCGGUGUGAAAUCUCCCGGCUUAACUGGGAGGGUGCGCCGGAAACUGGAGGGCUCGAGUAUGGGAGAGGAAAGCGGAAUUCCUGGUGUAGCGGUGAAAUGCGUAGAUAUCAGGAGGAACACCUGUGGUGUAGACAGCUUUCUGGACCAUUACUGACGCUGAGACACGAAAGCGUGGGUAGCAAACAGG